AGAAACUUAGGAUCACUUAAACCGAAG
rnacentral:tRNA from 5 species